AUGCAUGAUCAGGUCGACCUAGACCUGGACGACUUUCCGCUUGACCACGAGUUUCCAGAGGACUACGAGCAAGAGGAAGAGGACGAGUGCGACAUCGAAAGGGAGCCUUUGUUCGAGGACGAGCUCGCCAACCAAGCCACCGGGGCAAAGCCAAAGCGUAAGAGCAAGCGGACCAAGGCAUACAUGGCGGCCGAGGACAAACUUCUUUGUGAGUGUUGGAGAGACAUUGGGCAAGACCCCGAGACGGGCGCCGAACAAAAGGCAUCAACCUUUCGGAUUCGUGUCCACUGUGAGUUCCAUGAGCGCAAGAAGUUUCCGCCAUACCAAAUAGUAAGCACGCGCGGGUGGGAGAAACGAUGGAGGGUGAUCCAACGAGAGUGUAACAAAUUUUGUGCCACUCUUGAGAGCGUCAAGGCCCGCCCCGUUGGCGGCAUCGGCAUGCAAGACAUGGUAUGCUAG
rnacentral:rRNA from 1 species